AUAGGGGGAACAGGUGGACUGGAGCAAUGGCUGAGAACACACAUCUUUCAGGUGGGAAACAAAGAGAAUAUACUCAAAAUGGAAUUUUGAACAUUUACCUAAUGCCUUAGUAAUAAAUCCAUUUCCUCCAUGGAAGAUAUGGUCUUUACUCAUUUAUGCAUGGACAGUGAAGUUCUUCUUUUCUUGGUGCAAAAUUUUGUCAUCUUCUUAUAAUUCUCUAGAUAUAAGUGAACCAGGACACCAGCUGAGUGCCAGUGUCUUCUGGACCUUACAAGCGAGAUGCAUCUAUGAAGUCUCAGCAAUAUAGAUGCUUAAGCAUAACCUUGCACAAUAACAGCACCAGUUGACUUGCCACUGUGGAAGGUAGGUUUGGCUCUCUUCCAAAGCACAAGUAGAGAAGUGAGGUCUCUGAGGAAAUACAAGAGGCAAGAGGCAGGUGACAGAUCUGCAAGAAAAUCCCUAGGAAAAAAAAAAUAGAACUGACUUUGUAAUCACAGCAGCUACAAUCAUGGACCUUUGUGGUAAAUUACUCUAGAUGCAAAAAUGAAACAAUAAAUGGUAGGGAAAAUACAGUGAUUUGAGGCAGAUAUUGGACCAAAGACUCUUGGAAGAAUGAGGUCAGGUUCUCUUCCGUGAGAAAAGAAUAGCUGUAUGCAGUAAUGCGGGAGAGAAAAACAGGAAACUAAAUAUCCUUAAGAGGCGUGGAGUUGUAGAUCAAAUACUACUGCCAGUGAGACUAUGACUUUAGGCCUGUGAGCUUCCAUUCUCUCAUUGCAAUAUUACAACAAUAAAACCUAUUUUUUUUUAUUGGUCAAGC
rnacentral:lncRNA from 1 species